AGAGUUUGAUCAUGGCUCAGGAUGAACGCUAGCGGCAGGCCUAAUACAUGCAAGUCGAACGGUAAGUAUUUUAGCAAUAGGAUACGAGAGUGACGUACGGGUGCGUAACACGUAUGCAACCUACCCAAAACAGGAGGAUAGCUCAGGGAAACUUGGAUUAACCCUCCAUAAGAUCGUGCUAUGGCAUCAUGGAGCGAUAAAAACCGCGAGGUGGUUUUGGAUGGGCAUGCGUAUGAUUAGUUAGUUGGUGGUGUAACGGACCACCAAGACGAUGAUCAUUAGGGGACCUGAGAGGGUGAUCCCCCACACUGGCACUGAGAUACGGGCCAGACUCCUACGGGAGGCAGCAGUAGGGAAUAUUGGUCAAUGGAUGCAAGUCUGAACCAGCCAUGCCGCGUGCAGGAAGACGGCCUUCUGGGUUGUAAACUGCUUUUGCCAGGGGAUAAAAGGCCAUGCGUGGGACAUUGAAGGUACCUGGUGAAUAAGCCACGGCUAACUACGUGCCAGCCGCCGCGGUAAUUC
rnacentral:rRNA from 1 species